CACAUCUGAGGAGACGAGAUCUGGAGCAGACCGCUCGCGCUGAGGAGCAUUGCGCUAAAUCUUCCUGACAGAGUCCUCGGGGCACGUACAGCAGGAGCUACCCGUGCUGCGAAGGCACGGAGCCGAGGAGAGAAGCAAAGCCCACAGGCUGUUCAAAUUGCACGUUUACAGCAGAGAAGCCCACUGAAACCAGUAGGCAGCAGUGAGGGGGGCGCUGCCAGCAGCCUGCAAACACCACCCUCGGAGGCAAGGGCACCUCUCGCCGCACGGGUGAGCCCCUCUCCAAGCUGGCGCACAAGAUGCAGUCCAUCGUGUGGCCGUGCUGCUCGGAUGACGACCUCUGGGCAUGGCAGGAAAAGGACAUCUGAGCUUGCUGAAGCACAUCGAGCAGGACUGCCCGACACAUGGUGGCCCUGCUUCGGGAACGGUGCCUGCUUUUUCUUGUCUUCCCAUGCCCUGAAACCUCCUGGGGAAUUCUGCAGUGGGCUGACACGCCGUGUCAGCAGCGCCUGCUGUGAAACCAAGCAGCACAGGAGCAGCU
rnacentral:lncRNA from 1 species